UACGUAGGGGGCAAGCGUUAUCCGGAUUUACUGGGUGUAAAGGGAGCGUAGACGGCACGGCAAGCCAGAUGUGAAAGCCCGGGGCUCAACCCCGGGGCUGCAUUUGGAACUGCUGAGCUAGAGUGUCGGAGAGGCAAGUGGAAUUCCUAGUGUAGCGGUGAAAUGCGUAGAUAUUAGGAGGAACACCAGUGGCGAAGGCGGCUUGCUGGACGAUGACUGACGUUGAGGCUCGAAAGCGUGGGGAGCAAACAGG
rnacentral:rRNA from 1 species